GACGAACGCUGGCGGCGUGCUUAACACAUGCAAGUCGAGCGGUAAGGCGCCUUCGUUGGUACACGAAUGGCGAACGGGUGCGUAACACUUGGGUGAUCUUCCCUUCACUUCGGGAUAAGCCUGACAAACUGGGUCUAAUACCGAAUAGGGCCACGCUCUUCAUGGAGAGGGGUGGAUAGCUUUUGCGGGGUUUGAUGGGCCGGCGGCCUAUCAGCUUGUUGGUGUGGUGAUUGCCUACGAAGGCGACGACCGGUAGCCGGCAUGAGAGGCUGUCCGGCGACCAUGGGCCUGCGAUACGCAGCAGAAGGCAAUGGGAGGCAACAGUGGGAAAUAUUGCACAACGGGGGCACGCGUGAUGUAGCGACGCUGCGUGGGGGAUGCCGGCCUUCGGGUUGUAAACAAAUGUCAGUAUAGACGAAGAGGAAGUGACGGUAGGUAAAGAAGAAGCACCGGCUAACUACGUG
rnacentral:rRNA from 1 species